rnacentral:rRNA from 1 species
CGCGGUAAUUCCAGCUCCAAUAGCGUAUAUUAAAGUUGUUGCCGUUAAAAAGCUCGUAGUUGAACCUUGGACCUGGCUGAUCUGUCCUCCUAAUCGAGCGUACGGAUUCGGUCGGGUCUUUCCUUCUGGGGAGCCCUAUGUCCUUUACUGGUCGUAGCGGGGAACCAGGACUUUUACCUUGAAAAAAUUAGAGUGUUCAAAGCAGGCCUUUGCUCGAAUACAUUAGCAUGGAAUAAUAGAAUAGGACAUCGGUUCUAUUUUGUUGGUUUCUAGGACCGCUGUAAUGAUUAAUAGGGAUAGUCGGGGGCGUCCGUAUUCAAUUGUCAGAGGUGAAAUUCUUGGAUUUAUUGAAGACGAACUACUGCGAAAGC